rnacentral:tRNA from 1 species
GGAGGGAUGGCCGAGCGGUCAAUGGCAGCAGACUGUAAAUCUGCCCGCAUAUGCGUACGUAGGUUCGAAUCCUACUCCCUCCACCA